rnacentral:rRNA from 1 species
GACGAACGCUGGCGGCGUGCUUAACACAUGCAAGUCGAGCGGAAAGGCCCUUUCGGGGGUACUCGAGCGGCGAACGGGUGAGUAACACGUGAGUAAUCUGCCCUGGACUCUGGGAUAGCCACCGGAAACGGUGAUUAAUACCGGAUAUUACACCUUGCUGCAUGGAGGGGUGUGGAAAGUUUGUUAGGUCCAGGAUGUGCUCGCGGCCUAUCAGCUUGUUGGUGAGGUAAUGGCUCACCAAGGCUUUGACGGGUAGGCGGCGUGAGAGGGUGACCGGUCACACUGGGACUGAGACACGGCCCAGACUCCUACGGGAGGCAGCAGUGGGGAAUAUUGGACAAUGGGCGGAAGCCUGAUCCAGCAACGCCGCGUGAGGGAUGACGGCCUUCGGGUUGUAAACCUCUUUCAGUACCGACGAAGCGUGAGUGACGGUAGGUACAGAAGAAGGACCGGCCAACUACGUGCCAGCCGCCGCGGUAACAC